rnacentral:rRNA from 1 species
UACGAAGGGUGCAAGCGUUACUCGGAAUUACUGGGCGUAAAGCGUGCGUAGGUGGUGAGUUAAGUCUGUCGUGAAAGCCCCGGGCUCAACCUGGGAAUGGCGAUGGAUACUGGCUCGCUAGAGUGCGGUAGAGGAGAGUGGAAUUCCCGGUGUAGCAGUGAAAUGCGUAGAGAUCGGGAGGAACAUCAGUUGCGAAGGCGACUACCUGGCCU